rnacentral:rRNA from 1 species
AGAUUUGAUCCUGGCUCAGGAUGAACGCUAGCGGAGCCUAACACAUCAAGCCGAGCGUAUAGAUUCUCGGAAUCUAGAGAGCGGCGUACGGUGCGGAACACGUGUGCAACCUACCUUUAUCAGGGGAUAGCCUUCGAAAGGAAGAUUAAUACCCCAUAAUAUAUUGACUGCAUCAUCGAUAUUGAAAACUCGGUGGAUAAGAUGGCACGCGCAAGAUUAGAUAGUUGUAGGUAACGCCUACCAGUCAGUGAUCUUUAGGGCCUGAAGGGUGAUCCCCACACUGGUACUGAGACACGGACCAGACUCCUACGGGAGCAGCAGUGAGGAAUAUUGGACAAUGGUGAGAGCUGACCAGCCAUCCCGCUGAAGGACGACGCCCUAUGGGUUGUAAACUUCUUUGUAUAGGGAUAAACCUACUCUCGUGAGAGUAGCUGAAGACUAUACAAUAAGCACCGGCUACCCUUCCAGCACCGCGGUAAUACGAGGGCAAGCGUAUCCGGAUUUAUUGGUUUAAAGGUCCGUGGCGGAUCUGAAGUCAGUGGUGAAAUCUCAUAGCUUAACUAUGAACUGCCAUUGAUACUGCAGUCUUGAGUAAAGUAAAUGGCUGAAUAAGUAGUGUAGCGGUGAAAUGCAUGAAUUACUUAGAACACCAAUUGCGAAGGCAGUCACUAUGUUUAACUGACGCUGAUGGACGAAAGCGUGGGACGAACAGAUUAGAUACCUGGUAGUCCACGCCGUAAACGAUGCUAACUCGUUUUGGGCUUUAGGGUUCAGAACUAACGAAAGUGAUAAGUUAGCCACCUGGGAGUACGUUCGCAAAUGAAACUCAAAGGAAUUGACGGGGCCCGCACAGCGGUGGAUUAUGUGGUUAAUUCGAUGAUACGCAGAACCUUACAAGGCUUAAUGGAAUGACAGGUUUAGAAAUAGACUUUUCUUCGGACAAUUUUCAAGGCUGCAGGUUGUCGUCAGCUCGUGCGUGAGGUGUUAGGUUAAGUCCUGCAACGAGCGCAACCCCUGUCACUAGUUCCAUCAUUCAGUUGGGGACUCUAGUGAGACUGCUACGCAAGUAGAGGAAGGUGGGGAUGACGUCAAAUCAUCACGGCCCUUAGCUUGGCCACACGUAAUACAAUGGCCAGUACAGAGGGCAGCUACCAGGCGACUGGAUGCGAAUCUCGAAACUGGUCCAGUUCGGAUUGGAGUCUGCAACUCGACUCUAUGAGCUGGAAUCGCUAGUAAUCGCAUAUCAGCCAUGAUGCGUGAAUACUUCCCGGCCUUGUACACACGCCCGUCAAGCCAUGGAAUUUGGGUACUGAAUCGGUGACCGUACAGAGCGCCUAGGGUAAAACAAUAACUAGGCUAAGUCGUAACAAGGUAGCCGACCGGAAGUGCGGCUGGAACAUCU